UGGGGAAUAUUGCACAAUGGGCGCAAGCCUGAUGCAGCAACGCCGCGUGAGGGAUGACGGCCUUCGGGUUGUAAACCUCUUUUAGCAGGGAAGAAGCGAAAGUGACGGUACCUGCAGAAAAAGCACCGGCUAACUACGUGCCAGCAGCCGCGGUAAUACGUAGGGUGUAAGCGUUGUCCGGAAUUAUUGGGCGUAAAGAGCUCGUAGGCGGUCUGUCGCGUCUGCUGUGAAAUCCCCGAGGCUCAACCUCGGGCCUGCAGUGGGUACGGGCAGACUAGAGUGCGGUAGGGGAGAAUGGAACUCCUGGUGUAGCGGUGGAAUGCGCAGAUAUCAGGAAGAACACCGAUGGCGAAGGCAGUUCUCUGGGCCGUAACUGACGCUGAGGAGCGAAAGCGUGGGGAGCGAACAGGAUUAGAUACCCUGGUAGUCCACGCCGUAAAACGUUGGGCGCUAGAUGUGGGGACCAUUCCACGGUUUCCGUGUCGCAGCUAACGCAUUAAGCGCCCCGCCUGGGGAGUACGGCCGCAAGGCUAAAACUU
rnacentral:rRNA from 1 species